GUGAGGAAUAUUGGUCAAUGGGCGUAAGCCUGAACCAGCCAAGUAGCGUGCAGGAUGACUGCCCUAUGGGUUGUAAACUGCUUUUAUGCGGGAAUAAAGUGGCGUACGUGUACGCUUUUGUAUGUACCGCAUGAAUAAGGACCGGCUAAUUCCGUGCCAGCAGCCGCGGUAAUACGGAAGGUCCGGGCGUUAUCCGGAUUUAUUGGGUUUAAAGGGAGCGCAGGCGGAAGAUUAAGCGUGACGUGAAAUGUCCCGGCUCAACCGUGGAACUGCGUCGCGAACUGGUUUUCUUGAGUGAGUGCGACGUCGGCGGAAUUCGUGGUGUAGCGGUGAAAUGCUUAGAUAUCACGAAGAACCCCGAUUGCGAAGGCAGCCGACGAGUCCUUAACUGACGCUAAAGCUCGAAAGUGCGGGUAUCGAACAGG
rnacentral:rRNA from 1 species